rnacentral:misc_RNA from 1 species
UUUAUAUUGAUGCACCCAUUUACAUCAAGGGUUGUAAGUGUAUUGGAGCAGAAGCUAGAAAGCACCUCUAAGCACCUGUCAGAGACCCCAAGUAUCCCAAACAAACUUAAUAAUUCAAGAGACCUGCAGCCUUGAGCUAUUGCUAUGACCCCAACAUCACUGAUUUGUACACACCAUGUCAAAUUGAGAGACACCAGAUUUUUGCACAUCGAUAUACAAGAAAGUCCAUCAUCUGUCAGAUUCUGAGCACCACAGAGAUCCAGGAAUCUAAGAUGAGGUAGACGAGAUAUCAUCUUAUAAGCUUCGUCUGUUAAG